GAAUAUUGCACAAUGGGCGCAAGCCUGAUGCAGCGACGCCGCGUGGGCGAUGAAGGUCUUCGGAUCGUAAAGCCCUUUUCUUGGUGACGAGGAAGGACGGUAACCAAGGAAUAAGUGUCGGCUAACUACGUGCCAGCCGCCGCGGUAAAACGUAGGACGCAAGCGUUAUCCGGAAUUACUGGGCGUAAAGAGCGUGUAGGCGGAUGUAUAAGUCAGCCGUGAAAGCUCCCGGCUAAACUGGGAGAGGUCGGAUGAUACUGUAUAUCUUGAGGGCAAUAGAGGGGUGUAGAAUUCCGGGUGUAGUGGUGAAAUGCGUAGAUAUCCGGAGGAAUACCAGAGGCGAAGGCGGCACCCUGGAUUGUACCUGACGCUGAGACGCGAAAGCAUGGGUAGCGAACGGG
rnacentral:rRNA from 1 species